rnacentral:rRNA from 1 species
UACGGAGGGUGCAAGCGUUACUCGGAAUUACUGGGCGUAAAGCGCGUGUAGGCGGCAGCGUAUGUCGGAUGUGAAAGCCCACGGCUCAACCGUGGAAGAGCAUUCGAAACUGCGCAGCUAGAGUCCUGGAGAGGAAGGCGGAAUACUUGGUGUAGAGGUGAAAUUCGUAGAUAUCAAGUGGAACAUCAGUGGCGAAGGCGGCCUUCUGGACAGUGACUGACGCUGAGACGCGAAAGCGUGGGGAGCAAACAGG